UACGUAGGUGACCAGCGUUGUCCGGAUUUACUGGGCGUAAAGAGCGCGCAGGCGGUCGUUCAAGUCGAGUGUGAAAGCCCCCGGCUCAACUGGGGAGGGUCAUUCGAUACUGAUCGACUCGAAGGCAGGAGAGGGAAGCGGAAUUCCCGGUGUAGCGGUGAAAUGCGUAGAGAUCGGGAAGAACAUCGGUGGCGAAAGCGCUCUACUGGACCGCAACUGACACUCAGGGACGAAAGCUAGGGGAGCGAAUGGG
rnacentral:rRNA from 1 species